CAGAAGCUGCUUCAGUAAUUAUAUAUGUAUCUGCAGACAAUUAUUAUUUGUCUGAAUACCCACAUCUGUGUUUUUAUUGUAGCUCUGUAUGACUUUGUUUUCAGUUGAAGACGCCAAUAUCAACCUGCUUAAACGACUCCUGGAUCUUCAAAGGAAAAAGCACUAAGUUGUAUCAUCUGGGCACACUAUCCUUCCAACACGUGACUUCCGCUUUCCUGAAAGAGUCAACUUGGAUUGGUACAAGAUCGUGCCGGAGAU